GGGUCAUUUCAAAGAGAGCGUAUGGGACUAAAACCAGGAACUCUUAAAGCUGUGACCUAAAAUUGAAGUUCUCCAUAGGAUGUAAUAGACACUCUCAAUAGUGUCUAUUUUGUCCUGAAGAGAUAUAUGA